UACGUAGGGACCAAGCGUUGUUCGGAUUUACUGGGCGUAAAGGGCGCGUAGGCGGCUUAACAAGUCACUUGUGAAAUCUCCGGGCUUAACUCGGAACGGCCAAGUGAAACUGUCAAGCUAGAGUGCAGAAGGGGCAAUCGGAAUUCCUGGUGUAGCGGUGAAAUGCGUAGAGAUCAGGAGGAACACCCGUGGCGAAGGCGGCUCCCUGGUCCGUUUCUGACGCUGAGACGCGAGAGCGCGGGGAGCGAACGGG
rnacentral:rRNA from 1 species